CAGCAGCCGCGGUAAUACGAAGGGUGCAAGCGUUACUCGGAAUUACUGGGCGUAAAGCGUGCGUAGGUGGUGGUUUAAGUCCGUUGUGAAAGCCCUGGGCUCAGCCUGGGAAUUGCAGUGGAUACUGGGUCACUAGAGUGUGGUAGAGGAUAGUGGAAUUUCCGGUGUAGCAGUGAAAUGCGUAGAGAUCGGAAGGAACAUCUGUGGCGAAGGCGACUAUCUGGGCCAACACUGACGCUGAGGCACGAAAGCGUGGGGAGCAAACAGGAUUAGAUACCCCAGUAGUCCCUGUCUCUUAUAA
rnacentral:rRNA from 1 species